rnacentral:rRNA from 1 species
CGUCUAUAUACGUAUAGCAUAUCAAUAAGCGGAGGAAAAGAAACUAACAAGGAUUCCCUUAGUAACGGCGAGUGAAGCGGGAAGAGCUCAAAUUUGAAAUCUUCAAGGUUCUACCUUGACGAAUUGUAGUUUAUAGAAGUGUUUUCUGUAGUGGAGUUUGGUAAAAGUUCUUUGGAAUAGGACAUCAUAGAGGGUGAGAAUCCCGUAUUUGACCAGUUAUUUCCAGCUGUGUGAUACACUUUCAAAGAGUCGGAUUGUUUGGGAAUGCAGUCCAAAAUGGGUGGUAAAUUUCAUCUAAAGCUAAAUAUUGGCGAGAGACCGAUAGCGAACAAGUACCGUGAGGGAAAGAUGAAAAGAACUUUGAAAAGAGAGUUAAACAGUACGUGAAAUUGUCAAAAGGGAAGCGUUUGACACCAGUGUUGUUUUCUCGAAAAUCAAUUAAGAAGAGCCUGAUUUUGUGUUGUAUUGACCUUUAUCAGCUUUCUUCACUCUUUUCUGAGUCUUUUUUAAUGCACUUUUCGGUUAACAAGUCAACAUCAAUUUCUUUUGUUGUAAAAGAGUCAUUCGGAAGGUGGCUUUCUUUUCGGAGAAAGUGUUUAUAGCCUUGUGCCUCUGCAAUCGGAGAGAUUGAGGUCUGCAGCGUAGAUCCUUCGGGGUUAGAUACGUUUGUGCUAAGUUAUAGCUUUUCAUAGACAACUUGUUGACUAUGUUUAGUCUUGUAGCUUACUCGCUGACGCUAUUUUACCUACGCUUAGGAUGUUGACUGAUAUGUAGUCGUA